AUGAUAUACUUUGGCGAAAAACUAUCUAACAGACAGGUAUACAAACUAAUAUUAGAGGGAAAGAAAUUUUCAUUAUAAUAAAGAAACUAACAACAAAUGUGUUCGGUAUAGGAGUAUAGAAAAUAGACAAACGACUACCAACUACAAAACAAAUCAUACAAAGUCAUCCAAAAGGGUUAACUAUAUGAAACUGUUGGAUAUCAAAAUUGUUUGAUGUAAACUAUUGUUAUUAGUCAACAUAUGUAUCAACUACUGUAUCGAUUGUCUUCAGAAUCGUAAACCAGGUUCUAAUUAUGACUUCGUUAAAAUAACUCUCUGAAGUUAUUAGAUUCAACCUGUAUGCGUUGCUCUGACGAAAUAAUCUACCUCGUGUUUCAAUGUUCAAUUUUGACAUCAUAAGAAUUUUUUGUCAUGUAUUCAAAUUUAGCAUUUUGUCGUUUUUAUGAUACCACACAAACUAAUAAUGCUGGUUGCGAAAUGUUUCUAUAGUCGACUCAUCACUUCCCCUUAAGAUAGUUGAAAGACCAAAUCAAGUACACAGUUGAUGAAAGUUGUAACCAAAACACUUGAACAGGAAAAUGAAAUCCAUUGAUGCAUAAUAGAAUAUAAAAUUGCAUUGUAUUAUCGACAUAGAACUGUGCUGCGAUUGAUAUAAAAAAUGAAGUCAGAUGAUGGUUUUAUAUAUUCAUUUGAAAUCAUCAUAAUGAUUUUUGUCAUUUCAAGACAUUAACCUCAUCAUAUAUACCAGGGUUAAACUUUUGUCUAUCGUCAACAACUAAAGAGAAAAGUUUAUCUCUGAGCAUACAAAACUAAUGAAAAUUAUAACAAAGUUUAAAUGAAUUUCAUUAAAUCAUUCCAAUAACACGAGACUUAUCUUACAAUUGAUGAAAACUUCUUGUUGCACCCGUAGUGAUAGAGAGCUGAUUUAUAUUUGUCUCGUGUCUCAUGUUGUUUGAUAACUCUGUUAAUUUCGUAUUGUAUUAUGUUGCUGUUGUUGCAAACAUGUUGUGCCCGAGUGUUAAAAUAACAAAGACGCAUUUAUAAAUGUGUCAUACAUGAUAUGUGCAAACAUCAAAUUUAAAGAUAACUGUACGCAUGUGUAAAUGAUUGUUUUCCAUUUAUUGUUUUCUGAUCUGAACUAUAUUCAAAUAUACAGUAUUGUUUAGCACAGUAAAUAUACAUAGCAAUGAGCACAUUAUCGAAACAGCAAUGUCAUAGGCGUCACGUAAAUUUGGGAGGAAUUUUGUGAUUAAAACUUGUUAGGUUGAUUAAUUAUAUUUUUGAAAUUGUCUUUCUUAUAUAUUAUUCAUUAAAAAUUCUUAUACAUGUUGUAUUUGAGUACUGUAAUCUGCCAAAAUACUCUUUAUUAUUCUUUAAAAGUCGUUUUAAAUGAUGUGAAUAUUAAUUUUAUUUAUUUUCUUAUAUGCUUUGUCUAUAUGGCUUUUUGUGUUUCUUUGAUUCAUAUGACGUGGCUCUGUACUUAUACAUCCCGUUAUUGUGUUAUUGUGACAUGGUGAAUGUUUGUUUAAUGUUUGUUUGUUUUAUAGUGAUAAAGAUAAUAACACAAUGUUGACUGUUGUACCCAUAUUUUUGACAUGUUUGCCUGUUGUGUCUGUUUAAUUUGUUCACACAUCGUUGUCAAUAUAAUGGCAUGGUAUGCAAAUGUCAUACAAGUGAGAGGUUUAGCUAGCUUUAAAACCAGGUUUAAACCAUCAUUUUCUACUUAAGAAAAUGCCUGUUCCAAGUCAGUAAUAUGACAGUUGAUGUCCAUUCGUUUGAUGUUUUUGGGCUUUUGAUUUUGCCAUUUGAAAAAGGACUUUUCGUUUAUUGUUGCAUCGAAAAGGUUCAUUAUUUAUGAUUCAUGAACAUUAGUUUUAUUUUUAAUUUACAAAAACAAAAAUAUUGCUUGUUCUUGUUCAUCAAGAUUGCAAAUGAGACAACUCUCCACAAGAGACCAAAUGACACAGAAAUUAACAACUAUAGGUCAUCAUACGGCCUUCAACUACUUUUUCUCAUUGGCAAUCAAACCACAUCUUCUUCUUUAUAUUUGGGAUUUGACAUUUUAUUCAUAAAAUAUACUACAGAUUCUUAUAUUCAUCAGUCAUGUCAGUACAGUCCCAAAGUCACAGUUGUUCAUUUAAUGCGUAUAAUGCUCAUGCUAAUAGUUAUUGUUACCAUGACUUUUACUUUUAAGGUUCUUAUUAUUAUCUUAUAUUAGAAGUAUUGUAUCUAUUAUCAUUAUGUUUCAACUGACAAUAAAACAUUUUCAAACA